rnacentral:lncRNA from 1 species
AUAAGCAGGGCCGGCCCAAACUAUUUGAGUGCCUAAAGCAAAAAAAAAUUUGGCCCAUUAAGAAAAACUGUUAUAAAAAAAAAAAAAGUUUUAACAUGUUUGGGAUUCGAAACCGUGACCUGUACAACAAAAGACUUCAAACUAACCACUAGACCACAAUAACAUUUUAAAAUUUGAUGCCCUUAAAUCUACUUAUAAUUAUUUGAUGCCUAAAGCCCUUGCUUCAUGGGCUUUAGCCAUGGGCCGGCCCUG